rnacentral:lncRNA from 1 species
CAAAAGUCCAGGACACUUUGGCUUCCAGGGUACUGUGCGUCCACGUCCUUGCCCACCUCUCUCUAGAGGAGAGGCCAGAGGUCAAGGGUGUGGUCCUUAAGGACCCUCUGACUGAAGCUCAGUCACUGUGCUGCACCUUGGGCCUGGAAUGCAGUCCAGCCACACCAGCAGGGUCCCCCCAGCAGCUCCCCUACAGGGUAGUCACUGUCCUCUCACAAGACACCCACUGAGCAGCCCUGGUAGCAGCUCUAAAGGCCAUAAUGGCUCCCUUUUCCUGAGACAAGAGCUGCUUCUAGUGUGGAUCUGCCUCUGAGGCUGUCACCAGAGAGCAAAUGGCAUCAUUCAAAGAAUUCAAGAAGCCCUCCCUCCACUCGGCCAGGUGCCUCCAAGCCUUCUCAGGUUAAAUGCCCCAGCUCUUCAGCCACACCUCCUGUGACAGCACCUAUAGACCCCUUCACCAGCUGGUGCCCCUAUCAGGAAGACCUUCAGAGUCCUCUGCUCCUGUGGUUUGAUAUACAUGUGAUCCAGCCAGUAAAGAGGGGGUGACCAUCCCUCCCUCUGCUGUGGAUGGUGUUCUAUUAAUGCCUCCCAAACACACCUCAGACUUUCAGGCGGCCAACCCUCCCGCGCUUGCUACUAUGGUAGGCAUUGGUUACUAAUCAAGAGCCCAUCCUAUACUCUUCUGCCUGCUGCUGAGGUCUGACAUUUUUUAGGUGUUCGCCCUUCCCCUGACCCAGUCCCAAGGACUCCACCAAUCACAGUGGCCUCAAACGCCUGUCCAAAGGCUGGGUUAUGUUUCAUUCUGGUUUGGGGCUCUUCAGGAAUGUCUUGGUGGAGCAGACGCAUUGGGAAAGGCUUCCUUCCUCCUAAAAUAUAUCAUGGGGGAGGACACACCCCUCUGCUUUGGGCCUUGCCAGGUCUGUGACGUCUGGGAACCGAGGCAGCCAUCUUGCAACCAUGAGGGGAAGCAUCAUGGACACAAUGAAGAUGGCAAAGGGAAGAGAUGGAAAGACUGAACAAACCCAGGAAGCCCUGCCCUCCACACCUCUUGUCAUAGUGAUGACAGGUGGCAGACGGACCCAAAUGGGUUUUCUGUUAGUGGCAGCUGAAGGCCUCACAGCCCACGCUUCCUGUGACAGGAUUGUCAUACAGUCUGAGCCUACUGGACCCCAAGGAAGAAAUAGGUUUUUUCCUUCCCUUGGGAUCUUUAACAACCCUAAGUUGACUCUCCCAUUCCUGUCUCUUAAAUGACACUGAGGGCCAGACUCAAAGAUUGGUGGUCUCUCUUGGAUGUACAGAAAUCCAGUCCAGUCUGACCCACUUAAAAACUUCAGUCUCAAAUCCACCAAAUGCUAAUAGUCUCCCUGUUCCUGGGACAGACCAUACCACAGUCCAAUCAGGGAGAGGGACAAAAAUGACAAUGGAGCCCUCGGUAUGGCCAGGGUCCAGAUACUGACACCUACUGGGAUCCAGAGGAUCCAUGCAGGAGUCUCUCCCGGCUCUGCUCCAAAGAGGGGCCACCCAAUGUCCCCUCAGCUCUGCUCCUGUUGGUCCCCACAGCCAGUCCUCUGCCACUUCCCAGUGUCCACUUGGCACACAGACAAUGCACACAUGCUGACCAUCCCAGAUAGUGGGAGUGCAGAGAGCCCCCAAGGAGCCCUGCCACCUCUGCCUGCUGCUCCUUACCCUCGGUCCCAGGCAGAGGGAGAGGAGCAAGCUCACAUCAGCAGAGGAAUCUGCCCAGGGAAGAAGAAGCCACGUGCCCUCCUUGCAGAGUCCAUGCCUGGUUCCUGGGUGCCUGCUGCCCCAGCCUAUCUUGGAGUCUUCCCCCGGUGACAACCCUCAACCUCAGUCAUCCUUUCUCCUCCCUCUCAGUGAUCCAGACGGCAGAGAACAGGGACACCUCUUUGUCCUUGACUGUAUGUUCUGGUGGCAAAUUCUAGGGCAAGAGAGAAGCUCGGUGCCCAUUUACACCCCUUUCGAGCCCCGCCUCUCCCAUGCUGGAGCUCAGCAUGUGUGUGCUCCUCCCGUGUCGGCGCAACACAGCACACCUGCACACUUAUACCACUGCUGCUGUGCCAGGCUUUUGGUGACAUCCCCGUGUUGAAGACUGGCUCCAUGGUAAAUUGAUUUCUCCCCUCUCCCAGCCCCACCUCAUCCACUGAUUUGAUAAUCCAGCCUUCUGUGCCAUUACUCAAGCCUUUGAUGAUGAAAGUAUCAAAGAGGACAGAACGCGAUAGAGGGCCCUUAAUUCAGGGUGACAUUUAUUCCGGCAUGUUCUUGGUGAACUGUUGCUGGCUCCAUCUACUCACCACUUCCUUUUAU